GUCUUUUUGAGAAUAAUUUAAAGUCAAAUCUGCCCACUGAUUUAUUAAAGGGCUGCAGUAAAUUGACUGUACAAAGGUAGCAUAAUAAUUAGUCUUUUAAUUGAAGACUUGUAUGAAAGAUUUAAUGAAAUAUAGACUGUCUCUUUUUUAUAAUUUGAAUUUAAUUUUUUAGUAAAAAAGCUAAAAUUUUUUUAAAAGACGAGAAGACCCUAUAGAGUUUUAUAUUUAAUUUAAAUUUUAAUUUUUUAUUAAUUUUAAAUAAAAAUUAAAUUAAUUAUUUUAUUGGGGUGAUAAAAAAAUAAAAAUAACUUUUUUUAUAGGAGUAUUAGUAAUAUACAUAUAUAAUUAACAUUGAUUAAUGAGAAAAUGAUCCAUAAUUUAUGAUUAUAAGAAAAAAUUACCUUAGGGAUAACAGCGUAAUUUUUUUUUUUAGUUCAAAUAAAAAAAAAAGUUUGCGACCUCGAUGUUGGAUUAAGAUAAAAUUUAAAUGCAGAAGUUUAAAUUUUUUGAUCUGUUCGAUCAUUAAAAUCUUACA
rnacentral:rRNA from 1 species